GACGGCGUGAAAACGGAAACAACAAGUAUGCCGGCUCACUGUGCUGUAUACAGUUACACACUACGUCGUACGAUUGAGACAAGGAAACUUGGAAUGACUUUUCAUAGAGACUAUGGGUUGAGGAGGAAUUGGAAGUUUGUCGGCUUAGACCUGGUGUCAUUCCAUCAGUGUUAAACUUCCCGGCUCAUCUUGGAAGAGUACGUGCCAGAAAGACCACGACCAAGCAGCCUUGAGAUCUUAGGCAGCGUCUCCCUGAGACCAAAGAACUACAGACUCUUCAGAACCUGCUCAAACUCUUGAUACAGGACCUCACCACACGGGUCAAGAAGGUUUCCAUCUCAUUUCUACUCUGAAGCUCACCUUCUCCUGCUCAAACUGCUGACAAAUGUUUCUGCUGCUCUAAAGUCUGCUCUCCA
ensembl:lncRNA